AUUGAACGCUGGCGGCAGGCCUAACACAUGCAAGUCGAGCGGAGCGGCGGACGGGUGAGUAAUGCCUAGGACUCUGCCUGGUAGUGGGGGAUAACGUCCGGAAACGGGCGCUAAUACCGCAUACUAUCAGAUGAGCCUAGGUCGGAUUAGCUAGUUGGUGGGGUAAAGGCCUACAAAGGCGACGAUCCGUAACUGGUCUGAGAGGAUGGCCAGCCACCAUGGAAAUGAGACACGGUCCAGACUCCUACGGUAGGCAGCAGUGGGGAUGAUUGCACAAUGGGCGCAAGCCUGAUGCAGCCAUGCCGCGUGUAUGAAGAAGGCCGUCGAGUUGUAAGGUAAUUUCAGCGGGGAGGCGUUACCCGCAGAAGAAGCACCGGCUAACUCCGUGCCAGCAGCCGCGGUAAUAC
rnacentral:rRNA from 1 species